AUUGAACGCUGGCGGCAUGCCUUACACAUGCAAGUCGAACGGUAACAGGUUAAGCUGACGAGUGGCGAACGGGUGAGUAAUGUAUCGGAACGUGCCCAGUCGUGGGGGAUAACUGCUCGAAAGAGCAGCUAAUACCGCAUACGACCUGAGGGUGAAAGCGGGGGAUCGCAAGACCUCGCGCGAUUGGAGCUGCCGAUAUCAGAUUAGGUAGUUGGUGAGGUAAAGGCUCACCAAGCCGACGAUCUGUAGCUGGUCUGAGAGGACGACCAGCCACACUGGGACUGAGACACGGCCCAGACUCCUACGGGAGGCAGCAGUGGGGAAUUUUGGACAAUGGGCGCAAGCCUGAUCCAGCCAUGCCGCGUGCGUGAAGAAGGCCUUCGGGUUGUAAACCGCUUUUGUCAGGGAAGAAAAGGUUCUGGCUAAUACCUGGGACUCAUGACGGUACCUGAAGAAUAAGCACCGGCUAACUACGUG
rnacentral:rRNA from 1 species